ACACGGAUUUUUCCGGUGACCGGGGCGUGGCCACGCUUCGGACUCCACAAGGAAAGAAGAGAGCCCCCUUUGGGGCGGAGCCACUGAGGGCUGCGCGGAAGAGGCUGGGUGUGAUAAACUAUAAAGAGGCCCUAAACUCGGAUGCAACGUGACGGGAGUUGUAGUUCUUUCACCUGGCGGGCGUCUGCUCCGGUUCAGCUGCAGGAGGUUUCUUGGGAGUUCAGCCCAGCGCGCAGCCCCGCCGCGACGCCGCGAGCCGAGAACUCUCCUGGGGCGAAGGGAGCGCUGAGAAGUCGCUACUCUUACUAAAAGGAUGCGUUGGAUGCUGGGCCAUAUCCUUGGCGAUGCACACUGGAGACCCGCUCGGAUACGGACUCCAUUAACAUCAAACGGAGCGUGUUAGAGGAUCCGAGUUUACUGAGCACUUUCUAGGAAGCGUGCACUGAGCUACGUGCUUUCUAGGCCUUAGUUCAAUACUUAACCAUAUUCAUUAUAAUCCGGUGAAAUCGUAAUUAUUUAGCCUUAUUUUACAGAUGAGGACACUGCGUACCAACAAGUAACCUCACUAAGAAUUUCGUCAUGGAGGAGAAGGGAACCUGUAUUCAAAUUAGGAAGGAUCCUGAAGAAAGGGCACCUUUAGGUGGAAUUUUGUCUUUGGUUCUGCUGCAGAGUACUUGCUGCUUUUUAGUGCUCCCUCCACCCCCCUCAUUCUUCCUUGUAGAUUAGUCUGUUGUUUAUAUGCUGAGUUCCUUUUUUAAGCUCCUUGAAAGUUGGAACCCACUGCUGUUCGCCUGUUCAGGAUGUUGCACAUUCAAUCAACAUGGAUUUAUUAAGCGCUGAAUGAGGGCUAGGGAUCGUGCUGGGUGCUGAGGAUUGAGUGGCGAACACUUGGGUCAGACAAGUAAAAGGGCAAUUAGAAUAACUGUUAAAUGCUUAGAUGGGGUUAGUUCUAUGGAAGCACCCAUGGUUGGGGGGGGUGGGAUACAGAUCAGAGAGAAAAGGGUGGUCUGCAAAUAGUUUGGGAUGGCUACACUGGAGAGUGAUCAAGAGUGAGUGUAGGGCAGGGGUUGGCCGACUUUUUCCAUAAAGUGCUCUGAAAGUUGCAGAUUCCAGGAGAAGUAACUAUUGUCAGACCCAGACAAAUUGGAGCCUAGAGACCAGAAAGGAAGGAAACUCAUGCUUGUAUGUCUGAGAUAAGAACUGUCUCAAGGCCAGACGCGGUGGCUCACACCUGUAAUCCUAGUACUUUGGGAGGCCGAGGCGGGCGGAUCACGAGGUCAGGAGUUUGAGACCAGCCUGGCCAACGUGGUGAAAUUCCCGUCUCUACUAAAAAUACAAAAAAAAAAAGAAAAAGAAAAAAAAACCCGGGUGUGGUGGCGGGCGACUGUAAUCCCAGCUACUGAGGAGGCUGAGGCAGGAGAAUCGCUUGAACUCGGAGGAGGUUAUAGUGAGCCGAGAUCGUGCCACUGCACUCCAGCCUGGGCGACAGAGCAAGACUCCGUCUCAAAAAAAAAAAAGAAAGAAAGAACUGCCUCAAGGACUUUAAAAAAUAAACCAAAAAACCCACAAUUUCUUCACAUCUUUCAUGCAUUUAAUGUUUUGCACAACUUGCUUGUUUUGCAAAUAUGCGCACAUUUCUAUGACAAGAUUUAUUGCUAAAUAUUCUUUAAAACUGCAGCAGUUCAGAUAAGAUACUGUCGAAAGGACGUUUGGCCCAGCAGCAGGACCUCCACCAAUGAACGGACUCCAAUUCUUGAUUUGAGCCUUGGGAACCAAUCAACUUUGUUUCCAAGACGUUUAUGUGAACUUCCCUCCGUUACCAGUAAAAUCUUCCCCCUAUUCUUCCCUUCUCCAGACCCGUGGCUUGCCAUAGCUGUACAUCUUGGAUUAUAAUUCUUUUUGUUCACUCCCAAAGAAACUCAGUAUCUUUGGAGAAUUCUUUCUUUGUUGUCUUUUAGCUUCCCAGAGCCAAACAAGAAAUAUUUUAGGUUUUGUGGGUCAUGCUGGCUUGGUCACAGCUAUUCAACUUGUAUCUUAAAAUUAGCCAUAGACAGUAUGAAUGGGUGGGUCUGUGUUGCAAUAAAACCUUAUCCUAAACACUGAA
rnacentral:antisense_RNA from 1 species